rnacentral:rRNA from 1 species
AGCGAACGCUGGCGGCAGGCCUAACACAUGCAAGUCGAACUAACCUUUCGGGGUUAGUGGCGGACGGGUGAGUAACACGUGGGAACGUGCCUUUAGGUUCGGAAUAACUCAGGGAAACUUGUGCUAAUACCGAAUGUGCCCUUCGGGGGAAAGAUUAAUCGCCUUUAGAGCGGCCCGCGUCUGAUUAGCUAGUUGGUUGAGGUAAUGGCUCACCAAGGCGACGAUCAGUAGCUGGUCUGAGAGGAUGAUCAGCCACAUUGGGACUGAGACACGGCCCAAACUCCUACGGGAGGCAGCAGUGGGGAAUCUUGCGCAAUGGGCGAAAGCCUGACGCAGCCAUGCCGCGUGAAUGAUGAAAGUCUUAGGAUUGUAAAAUUCUUUCACCGGGGACGAUAAUGACGGUACCCGGAGAAGAAGCCCCGGCUAACUUCGUG